rnacentral:lncRNA from 1 species
CCCUGCCCUCUGCCCCAACCUGCUGACUUAGUUCAGGCCCACAGGCUCCUCCUUCUUUCCGGUGGCAGGCCUGUCCCUCUUCUGCCCUGAGCCUGACUGUGAUUUUCCAGCGCUUGGCCCCACAACUUGACGCUGCCCAUGUGUGUCCCUGACCAUGUCUCUUGCUGGCUGCCUCCACUCUCCCCUAAUCCUGGCCCCAAAUUCCUGCUUCUGCCCCUCUUGGUAACUUGCUGGAUGGCUUGUUUUGGGACCCCCCUCUCCCUCCUACCUCGGCCACGGCUGCCCCGUCAUUGCCAGCCUGUGUAGAUCAGCCCUGGGACCACGCGUGAGGGAUAACGUUCCACCCUAAGACUUGGGAGUGGGGUGUCCGGAUGGUUGCUCAUGAAAAGGCCCUGGAUGCUCGCUCUGAAUUUCUUUCAUUUUCCAAAUGUCACACUCUUCUCUUGCAGAGCUCAGAGCCGCCCUCAAAGCCUGGAUUCCCUCCUGUCUUCCUAAAUGCGACCCUCUCCUCUGCCGGCAUGCGCCUGCUCUCUCUCCUUCACUGAGCAAAAACACAUGUCCCAAGUUGACCCACGGCUCCUCCAGCUCUCAGGGACUCUCUGUCCUUCCAACUCUCCCUUUCGGAUCCAUCCAUCUGGACUCUGUGUCUGCUGUCUUGUGCCCCAAACCUGCUCCUCCAUGCCCUCUGCCUGCCCUUCUUAAGCUCUUAUCACCAUUCCACUACCCAAUCCUAACCACCACUACCCAGACUUCAAUCAACGCCUACCAACUCCCCAUCCCACACUUGAUGUCCCACUGCACUUCCAGCUGAGCUCCUCAGCAUGCUUGAGUAUCACCUCCUCCAGGAAGCCUUCCCUGAUCGCCUCCCCUCUUCUCUCAGGGCUGGCUGUCUUAUCUUUCUGCAUCCCAAGCAAACCUGGAUUGCAACUCUCCUCCCACCGUGAUAUAGCCAUUUACUUGCUGUCUCCCAUGAGGCAAUGGUUUUUUGGGAGGAGGAACUAUGUUACUUGGCCUUGGAGCCUAACACAGCACCUGGCACAUGCUCCUUCUACAGGUAAGAAAACUGACAUGUGGAGAGUUAACCUAGUCCAGGGGACAUGCCAUCUAGUUCCAGAAACGGCUCUCUCAUCUGCCCGUG